AGAGUUUGAUCCUGGCUCAGGACGAACGCUGGCGGCGCGCCUAACACAUGCAAGUCGAACGAGCGAGAGAGAGCUUGCUUUCUCGAGCGAGUGGCGAACGGGUGAGUAACGCGUGAGGAACCUGCCUCAAAGAGGGGGACAACAGUUGGAAACGACUGCUAAUACCGCAUAAGCCCACGGCUCGGCAUCGAGCAGAGGGAAAAGGAGCGAUCCGCUUUGAGAUGGCCUCGCGUCCGAUUAGCUAGUUGGUGAGGUAACGGCCCACCAAGGCAACGAUCGGUAGCCGGACUGAGAGGUUGAACGGCCACAUUGGGACUGAGACACGGCCCAGACUCCUACGGGAGGCAGCAGUGGGGAAUAUUGCACAAUGGGGGAAACCCUGAUGCAGCGACGCCGCGUGGAGGAAGAAGGUCUUCGGAUUGUAAACUCCUGUUGUUGGGGAAGAUAAUGACGGUACCCAACAAGGAAGUGACGGCUAACUACGUGCCAGCAGCCGCGGUAAAACGUAGGUCACAAGCGUUGUCCGGAAUUACUGGGUGUAAAGGGAGCGCAGGCGGGAAGACAAGUUGGAAGUGAAAUCUAUGGGCUCAACCCAUAAACUGCUUUCAAAACUGUUUUUCUUGAGUAGUGCAGAGGUAGGCGGAAUUCCCGGUGUAGCGGUGGAAUGCGUAGAUAUCGGGAGGAACACCAGUGGCGAAGGCGGCCUACUGGGCACCAACUGACGCUGAGGCUCGAAAGUGUGGGUAGCAAACAGAAUUAGAUACCCUGGUAGUCCACACCGUAAACGAUGAUUAUAAGGUGUUGGAGGAUUGACCCCUUCAGUGCCGCAGUUAACACAAUAAGUAAUCCCACCUGGGGAGUACGACCGCAAGGUUGAAACUCAAAGGAAUUGACGGGGGCCCGCACAAGCAGUGGAGUAUGUGGUUUAAUUCGACGCAACGCGAAGAAACUUACCAAGUCUUGACAUCCCUUGACAGGUAUAGAAAUAUGUUUUCUCUUCGGAGCAAGGAGACAGGUGGUGCAUGGUUGUCGUCAGCUCGUGUCGUGAGAUGUUGGGUUAAGUCCCGCAACGAGCGCAACCCUUAUGGUCAGUUACUACGCAAGAGGACUCUGGCCAGACUGCCGUUGACAAAACGGAGGAAGGUGGGGAUGACGUCAAAUCAUCAUGCCCUUUAUGACUUGGGCUACACACGUACUACAAUGGCGUUAAACAAAGAGAAGCAAGACCGCGAGGUGGAGCAAAACUCAGAAACAACGUCCCAGUUCGGACUGCAGGCUGCAACUCGCCUGCACGAAGUCGGAAUUGCUAGUAAUCGUGGAUCAGCAUGCCACGGUGAAUACGUUCCCGGGCCUUGUACACACCACCCGUCA
rnacentral:rRNA from 1 species